GACGAACGCUGGCGGCGUGCUUAACACAUGCAAGUCGAACGAAGAGCGACGGAAGCUUGCUUCUAUCAAUCUUAGUGGCGAACGGGUGAGUAACGCGUAAUCAACCUGCCCUUCAGAGGGGGACAACAGUUGGAAACGACUGCUAAUACCGCAUACGAUCUAAUCUCGGCAUCGAGGAUGGAUGAAAGGUGGCCUCUACAUGUAAGCUAUCACUGAAGGAGGGGAUUGCGUCUGAUUAGCUAGUUGGCGGGGUAACGGCCCACCAAGGCGAUGAUCAGUAGCCGGUCUGAGAGGAUGAACGGCCACAUUGGGACUGAGACACGGCCCAGACUCCUACGGGAGGCAGCAGUGGGGAAUCUUCCGCAAUGGACGAAAGUCUGACGGAGCAACGCCGCGUGAGUGAUGACGGCCUUCGGGUUGUAAAGCUCUGUUAAUCGGGACGAAAGGCCUUCUUGCGAAUAGGGAGAAGGAUUGACGGUACCGGAAUAGAAAGCCACGGCUAACUACGUG
rnacentral:rRNA from 1 species